rnacentral:rRNA from 1 species
GACGAACGCUGGCGGCGUGCUUAACACAUGCAAGUCGAACGGAAAGGCCCUGCUUUUGUGGGGUGCUCGAGUGGCGAACGGGUGAGUAACACGUGAGUAACCUGCCCUUGACUUUGGGAUAACUUCAGGAAACUGGGGCUAAUACCGGAUAGGAGCUCCGGCUGCAUGGUGGGGGUUGGAAAGUUUCGGCGGUUGGGGAUGGACUCGCGGCUUAUCAGCUUGUUGGUGGGGUAGUGGCCUACCAAGGCUUUGACGGGUAGCCGGCCUGAGAGGGUGACCGGCCACAUUGGGACUGCGAUACGGCCCAGCCUCCUACGGGAGGCAGCAGUGGGGAAUAUUGCACAAUGGGCGGAAGCCUGAUGCAGCAACGCCGCGUGCGGGAUGACGGCCUUCGGGUUGUCAACCGCUUUCGCCUGUGACGAAGCGUGAGUGACGGUAAUGGGUAAAGAAGCACCGGCUAACUACGUG